rnacentral:rRNA from 1 species
UACGUAGGGGGCAAGCGUUGUCCGAAUUUAUUGGGCGUAAAGAGCGUGUAGGCGGCCAGAUAGGUCAGCUGUGAAAACUCGAGGCUCAACCUCGAGAUGUCGGCUGAAACCAUCUGGCUAGAGUCCGGAAGAGGAGAAUGGAAUUCCCGGUGUAGCGGUGAAAUGCGCAGAUAUCGGGAAGAACACCCGUGGCGAAGGCGGUUCUCUGGGACGGUACUGACGCUGAGACGCGAAAGCGUGGGGAGCGAACAGG